rnacentral:rRNA from 1 species
AUUGAACGCUGGCGGCAGGCCUAACACAUGCAAGUCGAGCGGUUGACGGGAGCUUGCUCCCUGAUUCAGCGGCGGACGGGUGAGUAAUGCCUAGGAAUCUGCCUAUUAGUGGGGGACAACGUUUCGAAAGGGACGCUAAUACCGCAUACGUCCUACGGGAGAAAGCAGGGGACCUUCGGGCCUUGCGCUAAUAGAUGAGCCUAGGUCGGAUUAGCUUGUUGGUGAGGUAAUGGCUCACCAAGGCGACGAUCCGUAACUGGUCUGAGAGGAUGAUCAGUCACACUGGAACUUGAACACGGUCCAGACUCCUACGGAAGGAGGCAGUGGGGAAUAUUGGACAAUGGGCGAAAGCCUGAUCCAGCCAUGCCGCGUGUGUGAAGAAGGUCUUCGGAUUGUAAAGCACUUUAAGUUGGGAGGAAGGGUUGUAGAUUAAUACUCUGCAAUUUUGACGUUACCGACAGAAUAAGCACCGGCUAACUCUGUGCCAGCCGCCGCAGUAACAC